GAGUUUGAUCUUGGCUCAGGACGAACGCUGGCGGUAUGCCUAAUACAUGCAAGUCGAGCGCAGGAAGCAGACUGAAGCCUUCGGGUGGAUGUCUGUGGAAUGAGCGGCGGAUGGGUGAGUAUCACGUGGGUAACCUGCCUGUAAGCUUGGGAUAACUCCGGGAAACCGGUGCUAAUACCCGAUAAGAUUUCCGUUCGCAUGAACGGAAAAUGAAAGGCGGCUUUUGCUGUCACUUACAGAUGGACCCGCGUCGCAUUAGCUAGUUGGUGGGGUAAAGGCUCACCAAAGCAACGAUGCGUAGCCGACCUGAGAGGGUGAUCGGCCACACUGGGACUGAGACACGGCCCAGACUCCUACGGGAGGCAGCAGUAGGGAAUCUUCCGCAAUGGACGAAAGUCUGACGGAGCAAUACCGCGUGAGUGAUGAAGGUCUUCGGAUCGUAAAACUCUGUUGUUAAGGAAGAACAAGUGCUAAUCUAAUACAUUAGUGCCCUGACGGUACCUAACCAGAAAG
rnacentral:rRNA from 1 species